rnacentral:rRNA from 1 species
UCCUACGGGGCGCAGCAGUGGGGAAUAUUGCACAAUGGGGGAAACCCUGAUGCAGCGACGCCGCGUGAGCGAAGAAGGCUUUCGGGUUGUAAACUUCUUUUAAGAGGGAAGAGAAGAAGACGGUACCUCUUGAAUAAGCCACGGCUAACUACGUGCCAGCAGCCGCGGUAAUACGUAGGUGGCAAGCGUUGUCCGGAUUUACUGGGUGUAAAGGGCGUGCAGCCGGGCUGACAAGUCAGAUGUGAAAUCCCGCGGCUCAACCGCGGAACUGCAUUUGAAACUGUCAGUCUUGAGUACCGGAGAGG